rnacentral:rRNA from 1 species
UACGUAGGUGGCAAGCGUUGUCCGGAAUUAUUGGGCGUAAAGAGCAUGUAGGCGGGCUUUUAAGUCCGACGUGAAAAUGCGGGGCUUAACCCCGUAUGGCGUUGGAAACUGGGAGCCUUGAGUGCAGGAGAGGAAAGGGGAAUUCCCAGUGUAGCGGUGAAAUGCGUAGAUAUUGGGAGGAACACCAGUGGCGAAGGCGCCUUUCUGGACUGUGUCUGACGCUGAGAUGCGAAAGCCAGGGUAGCAAACGGG